rnacentral:rRNA from 1 species
GACGAACGCUGGCGGCGUGCUUAACACAUGCAAGUCGAACGGAAAGGCCCUGCUUUUGUGGGGUGCUCGAGUGGCGAACGGGUGAGUAACACGUGAGUAACCUGCCCUUGACUUUGGGAUAACUUCAGGAAACUGGGGCUAAUACCGGAUAGGAGCUCCUGCUGCAUGGUGGGGGUUGGAAAGUUUCGGCGGUUGGGGAUGGACUCGCGGCUUAUCAGCUUGUUGGUGGGGUAGUGGCUUACCAAGGCUUUGACGGGUAGCCGACCUGAGAGGGUGACCGGCCACAUUGGGACUGGGAUACGGACCAGAAUGCUACGGGAGGCAGCGGUGGGGAAUAUUGCACAAUAGGCGGGAGCCGGAUGCAGAAACGCCGGGUGCGGGAUGACGGCCUUCGGGUUGAAAACAAAUUUGGACGGUGAUGAAGAGUGAGUGACGGUAAUGGGUAAAGAAGCACCGGCUAACUACGUG